UAAAAAAAUAUUUAAUUUAAGUUUUUGGUGGGGUUAUGAUUUUCUUUCUUUCUUUCUUUUCUGGUAAUUUUCUGGUAAUUUUUGCAACUGGUAAGUGUUAUGAUUUGCAAUAGGUAGACUGGGGAUUGGGUUUUAACUUGAGUUUGGGGAUGGUACUGAAAUAUCAAAUGCUGUCUGUUAUUCAUUUGUGGGAUUGGAGCUUAAAGAAAGAUAAGUGAUUUUUGAUGACCUGAAUAUGUCUGGGCUUUGGGAUAAUGAAGCCAAAUAGUAGGAAGUGUGACUUAUGGAUUUCUGUAUACAAUGGCUUGAGCUGGGGUUAAGUUCUAUACUCAUAUUUGUCUGAGUGAGGCAGUCAUCUCUAGUUAUCUGGGAAAUUAUAGAAGUAGGACUUGAAUUCUAAGUUAAGUUUUGGACUUUCGGUAUCUAAGAUACAACAUGGUGCUCAGACUUGUUAGUUUUUGUGUUGAGUAAUGUUAUAUACUACAUUUUUAUGCUACAACUAUCCCACAAUGAUGACGUAGUAGUCUUACUUAUCAUAAUUUUUUUUUUUUAACAAAGGACUAAUCUAAGGGUUAGUUGAGACUUACCAUUGUGAGAUAAAGUUUCUAACAUUACUCUUGUGUUUGGUGACCACAUAGCUUGGAGUUUAAGAUAAUUGAUCAAGUGCCCUCCUAUAUGGACAUAAGCCUUUUUUUUUGUUUUUUUUUGUCCAAAUUUGAGAUACCCAAAUGUCAAAUAUGAUGGCAUGAUUUGAUGAAGCCUGAAUUUGCUGUGGCAGUUUUUAUUAGAUGCAAUUGUUCAAGUGAUGUAUCUCGACAUGUUAUGUGGUUGAUGCUAUAUGAUUCUUAGAUAAACAGGGCACUUAGUGAUGUUGAUGGAUGGAGUGCAUGUUAUUGUACUUGUCUGUUGGUUCAUUAGCUUUGGGAAAAUGAUUAAAGAAAGAGUUCAUUGUUUGACCAAUUCUUUUCCAAUGUCUAAAAGAAAGAGUCUUAUUUUUUUUGCACUAAGAUCAAUUAAUUUUUUGCAUUGAAUAAUACUCAUAUGAGAUUCAGAGAGUGCAAGCUGUUCAUACCGCCUUUAUAUGUGCAGGACUGCCCCCUCAGUUGUUGCCAAGAAAGAAAGUGUAAAAGCAUCUGUGGAAACUUUCAAGAUUCCGGUGGCCCGAACUACUGGAGUCAAUUCAACUAAUCAACAGGCCAAAAAUAUUGCAGUAACACAAGCACAACAAGAGGGCUGCACUGGAAAAUUUAAAAUCUUCGAUUCGCCAUAUGGGAAUUUUCUUGUGCCUGUAAUUCCAACUCCUGCUGAACUAGCUGGAUAAUUUCAUGUUUCGUACUGAUAACAAAAUUUUGUUGGAGAUGCUGUAUUUGUGGAGCUCCUAUACACAUAAGUACAAAGCUGAGCCUUUCCAAAAUUUAUGCAUAUGCACAGUGUUUUCCAUGAA